rnacentral:rRNA from 1 species
GAUGAACGCUGGCGGCGUGCCUAAUACAUGCAAGUCGAGCGAACAGAUGAGGAGCUUGCUCCUCUGACGUUAGCGGCGGACGGGUGAGUAACACGUGGAUAACCUACCUAUAAGACUGUGAUAACUUCGGGAAACCGGAGCUAAUACCGGAUAAUAUAUUGAACCGCAUGGUUCAAUAGUGGAAGACGGUUUUGCUGUCACUUAUAGAUGGAUCCGCGCCGCAUUAGCUAGUUGGUAAGGUAACGGCUUACCAAGGCAACGAUGCGUAGCCGACCUGAGAGGGUGAUCGGCCACACUGGAACUGAGACACGGUCCAGACUCCUACGGGAGGCAGCAGUAGGGAAUCUUCCGCAAUGGGCGAAAGCUUGACGGAGCAACGCCGCGUGAGUGAUGAAGGUCUUCGGAUCGUAAAACUCUGUUAUUAGGGAAGAACAAAUGUGUAAGUAACUAUGCACGUCUUGACGGUACCUAAUCAGAAAGCCACGGCUAACUACGUG